UACGGAGGAUGCAAGCGUUAUCCGGAUUUAUUGGGUUUAAAGGGUGCGCAGGCGGGAGAUUAAGUCGGCGGUGAAAUUUUGCAGCUCAACUGUAAAAGUGCCUUCGAAACUGGUUUCCUUGAGUGUAGAUGAAGUAGGCGGAAUUUGUGGUGUAGCGGUGAAAUGCAUAGAGAUCACACAGAAUAUCGAUUGCGAAGGCAGCUCACAAAGCCAAGAUUGACGCUGAGGCACGAAAGUGUGGGGAUCAAACAGGAUUA
rnacentral:rRNA from 1 species